GAUGAACGCUGGCGGCGUGCCUAAUACAUGCAAGUCGAGCGAACAGACGAGGAGCUUGCUCCUCUGACGUUAGCGGCGGACGGGUGAGUAACACGUGGAUAACCUACCUAUAAGACUGGGAUAACUUCGGGAAACCGGAGCUAAUACCGGAUAAUAUAUUGAACCGCAUGGUUCAAUAGUGAAAGACGGUUUUGCUGUCACUUAUAGAUGGAUCCGCGCCGCAUUAGCUAGUUGGUAAGGUAACGGCUUACCAAGGCAACGAUGCGUAGCCGACCUGAGAGGGUGAUCGGCCACACUGGAACUGAGCCACGGUCCAGACUCCUACGGGAGGCAGCAGUCGGGAAUCUUCCGCAAUGGGCGAAAGCUUGGCGGAGCAACGCCGCGUGAGUGAUGAAGGUCUUCGGAUCGUAAAACUCUGUUAUUAGGGAAGAACAAAUGUGUAAGUAACUAUGCACGUCUUGACGGUACCUAAUCAGAAAGCCCCGGCUAACUACGUG
rnacentral:rRNA from 1 species